AGGAUAAGGCUCAUAUAUUGCACUUUGGAUGUGCUGACCCCUGUGAUUUCCCCAAAUGCGGGAAAAUCA
rnacentral:snRNA from 1 species